UGGCGCACGGGUGAGUAACACGUGAGUAACCUGCCCCCGAGAGCGGGAUAGCCCUGGGAGACUGGGAUUAAUACCGCAUAGUAUCGAAAGAUUAAAGCAGCAAUGCGCUUGGGGAUGGGCUCGCGGCCUAUUAGUUAGUUGGUGAGGUAACGGCUCACCAAGGCGAUGACGGGUAGCCGGUCUGAGAGGAUGUCCGGCCACACUGGAACUGAGACACGGUCCAGACACCUACGGGAGGCAGCAG
rnacentral:rRNA from 1 species